rnacentral:rRNA from 1 species
GGUUAAGCGACUAAGCGUACACGGUGGAUGCCCUGGCAGUCAGAGGCGAUGAAGGACGUGCUAAUCUGCGAAAAGCGUCGGUAAGGUGAUAUGAACCGUUAUAACCGGCGAUGUCCGAAUGGGGAAACCCAGUGUGAUUCGUCACACUAUCGUUAACUGAAUACAUAGGUUAACGAGGCGAACCGGGGGAACUGAAACAUCUAAGUACCCCGAGGAAAAGAAAUCAACCGAGAUUCCCCCAGUAGCGGCGAGCGAACGGGGAGCAGCCCAGAGUCUGAAUCAGCUUGUGUGUUAGUGGAACGGUCUGGAAAGUCCGACGGUACAGGGUGAUAGUCCCGUACACCAAAAUGCACAGGCUGUGAACUCGAAGAGUAGGGCGGGACACGUGGUAUCCUGUCUGAAUAUGGGGGGACCAUCCUCCAAGGCUAAAUACUCCUGACUGACCGAUAGUGAACCAGUACCGUGAGGGAAAGGCGAAAAGAACCCCGGCGAGGGGAGUGAAAAAGAACCUGAAACCGUGUACGUACAAGCAGUGGGAGCACCUUCGGGUGUGACUGCGUACCUUUUGUAUAAUGGGUCAGCGACUUAUAUUCUGUAGCAAGGUUAACCGUAUAGGGGAGCCGCAGGGAAACCGAGUCUUAACUGGGCGUUAAGUUGCAGGGUAUAGACCCGAAACCCGGUGAUCUAGCCAUGGGCAGGUUGAAGGUUGGGUAACACUAACUGGAGGACCGAACCGACUAAUGUUGAAAAAUUAGCGGAUGACUUGUGGCUGGGGGUGAAAGGCCAAUCAAACCGGGAGAUAGCUGGUUCUCCCCGAAAGCUAUUUAGGUAGCGCCUCGUGAACUCAUCUUCGGGGGUAGAGCACUGUUUCGGCUAGGGGGUCAUCCCGACUUACCAACCCGAUGCAAACUACGAAUACCGAAGAAUGUUAUCACGGGAGACACACGGCGGGUGCUAACGUCCGUCGUGAAGAGGGAAACAACCCAGACCGCCAGCUAAGGUCCCAAAGUCAUGGUUAAGUGGGAAACGAUGUGGGAAGGCACAGACAGCCAGGAUGUUGGCUUAGAAGCAGCCAUCAUUUAAAGAAAGCGUAAUAGCUCACUGGUCGAGUCGGCCUGCGCGGAAGAUGUAACGGGGCUAAACCAUGCACCGAAGCUGCGGCAGCGACACUAUGUGUUGUUGGGUAGGGGAGCGUUCUGUAAGCCUGCGAAGGUGUGCUGUGAGGCAUGCUGGAGGUAUCAGAAGUGCGAAUGCUGACAUAAGUAACGAUAAAGCGGGUGAAAAGCCCGCUCGCCGGAAGACCAAGGGUUCCUGUCCAACGUUAAUCGGGGCAGGGUGAGUCGACCCCUAAGGCGAGGCCGAAAGGCGUAGUCGAUGGGAAACAGGUUAAUAUUCCUGUACUUGGUGUUACUGCGAAGGGGGGACGGAGAAGGCUAUGUUAGCCGGGCGACGGUUGUCCCGGUUUAAGCAUGUAGGCUGGUUAUCCAGGCAAAUCCGGAUAAUCAAGGCUGAGGUGUGAUGACGAGGCACUACGGUGCUGAAGUAACAAAUGCCCUGCUUCCAGGAAAAGCCUCUAAGCAUCAGGUAACAUCAAAUCGUACCCCAAACCGACACAGGUGGUCAGGUAGAGAAUACCAAGGCGCUUGAGAGAACUCGGGUGAAGGAACUAGGCAAAAUGGUGCCGUAACUUCGGGAGAAGGCACGCUGGUGUGUAGGUGAAGUCCCUGCGGAUGGAGCUGAGACCAGUCGAAGAUACCAGCUGGCUGCAACUGUUUAUUAAAAACACAGCACUGUGCAAACACGAAAGUGGACGUAUACGGUGUGACGCCUGCCCGGUGCCGGAAGGUUAAUUGAUGGGGUUAUCCGUAAGGAGAAGCUCUUGAUCGAAGCCCCGGUAAACGGCGGCCGUAACUAUAACGGUCCUAAGGUAGCGAAAUUCCUUGUCGGGUAAGUUCCGACCUGCACGAAUGGCGUAAUGAUGGCCAGGCUGUCUCCACCCGAGACUCAGUGAAAUUGAACUCGCUGUGAAGAUGCAGUGUACCCGCGGCAAGACGGAAAGACCCCGUGAACCUUUACUAUAGCUUGACACUGAACAUUGAGCCUUGAUGUGUAGGAUAGGUGGGAGGCUUUGAAGCGUGGACGCCAGUCUGCGUGGAGCCAACCUUGAAAUACCACCCUUUAAUGUUUGAUGUUCUAACGUUGGCCCCUUACCGGGGUUGCGGACAGUGUCUGGUGGGUAGUUUGACUGGGGCGGUCUCCUCCCAAAGCGUAACGGAGGAGCACGAAGGUUAGCUAAUCCUGGUCGGACAUCAGGAGGUUAGUGCAAUGGCAUAAGCUAGCUUGACUGCGAGCGUGACGGCGCGAGCAGGUGCGAAAGCAGGUCAUAGUGAUCCGGUGGUUCUGAAUGGAAGGGCCAUCGCUCAACGGAUAAAAGGUACUCCGGGGAUAACAGGCUGAUACCGCCCAAGAGUUCAUAUCGACGGCGGUGUUUGGCACCUCGAUGUCGGCUCAUCACAUCCUGGGGCUGAAGUAGGUCCCAAGGGUAUGGCUGUUCGCCAUUUAAAGUGGUACGCGAGCUGGGUUUAGAACGUCGUGAGACAGUUCGGUCCCUAUCUGCCGUGGGCGCUGGAGAAUUGAGGGGGGCUGCUCCUAGUACGAGAGGACCGGAGUGGACGCAUCACUGGUGUUCGGGUUGUCAUGCCAAUGGCACUGCCCGGUAGCUAAAUGCGGAAGAGAUAAGUGCUGAAAGCAUCUAAGCACGAAACUUGCCCCGAGAUGAGUUCUCCCUGAGACUUUAAGUCUCCUGAAGGAACGUUAAAGACGAUGACGUUGAUAGGCCGGGUGUGUAAGCGCAGCGAUGCGUUGAGCUAACCGGUACUAAUGAACCGUGAGGCUUAACCUU